UCCUACCAAAAUCACGCCACAUAAAAUUAAGUAUUAAUUAUUAUAAAAAUAACUAUAAAAUAAAAACAAAAAUAAUAAAAGUAAAUAAAAUCAUAAUUUAACCAAUAUAAAGCGACUAUUGGACUAUUAUUAGGGACUAAAAAUAUGCUAUAUUAUGCACUUAUCAAGCUCAUCGUCUUCAAGUGUGGAAAAUUCUGCAGCUCUUCCUGGAAUGACUACUGAACAGUGGCAACGCUUCCUAGACAUGCUUGGUAACUCAAAAACUACCGAUGAUCGUAUGGUUGGACCGAAAUUUGAGGACUCUGAUUGGAGCCGGUGAGCGGAGGGAUGGACUCUACUACUUUCCUGAUGUUCCUAGGAUUCAAGCUUUGAAGGUUGAUGAUUUGUCUUCUCCAGAUUUGUGGCACAAGCGGCUUGGGCAUCCUUCUGACAAAGUAUUGGAGUCUCUUCCCAUAGUUGGUAAAUCUAGUAGAAAGUUGAAAAAAAUCUUUUGAUGUUUGUCAUCAAGCAAAACAUACUAGGGAGUAGGGACCCUUUUCCUAUUAGUGAGCACAGAGCUACUCAGAAGUUUUGAAUUGAUACAUUGUGAUCUUUUCGGGGCCUUAUUCUACCCCUUCUUCUUGUGGUGCUUAUUACUUUUUGGCUAUUGUUGAUGAUUAUUCAAGAGCUGUUUGGGUUUUUUGGCUACUUAAUAAAACUGAGGUGUAUAAGAUGUUUUUAUCUUUUUUUGCCAUGAUUGAAAGACAAUUCAAUGCAAAAGUACAAUUUGUUAGAA